rnacentral:rRNA from 1 species
UACGUAGGGUGCGAGCGUUGUCCGGAAUUACUGGGCGUAAAGAGCGUGUAGGCGGCCCCUUAAGUCCUGCGUGAAAUCCUGCGGCUCAACCGCAGACGGUCGUGGGAAACUGGAGGGCUAGAGUGCGGGAGAGGAGAGUGGAAUUCCCGGUGUAGCGGUGAAAUGCGCAGAUAUCGGGAAGAACACCCGUGGCGAAGGCGGCUCUCUGGAACGCAACUGACGCUGAGACGCGAAAGCGUGGGGAGCAAACAGG